rnacentral:rRNA from 1 species
GAUGAACGCUGGCGGCGGGCCUAAUACAUGCAAGUCGAGCGAACAGAUGAGGAGCUUGCUCCGCUGACGCUAGCGGCGGACGGGUGAGUAACACGUGGAUAACCGACCUAUAAGACUGGGGUAACGUCGGGAAACCGGAGCCAAUACCGGACAAUAGAGUGAAACGCAGGGAUCAAUAGUGAAAGAGGGAUUUGCUGACACUUAUAGAUGGAUCCGCGCCGCAUUAGCUAGUUGGUAAGGUAACGGCUUACCAAGGCAACGAUGCGUGGCCGACCUGAGAGGGUGAUCAGCCACACUGGAACUGAGACACGGUCCAGACUCCUACGGGAGGCAGCAGUAGGGAAUCUUCCGCAAAGGGCGAAAGCCUGACGGAGCAACGCCGCGUGAGUGAUGAAGGUCUUCGGAUCGUAAAGCUCUGUUAUUUGGGAAGAACAAAUGUGUAAUUAACUCUGCCCGUCUUGACGGUACCUACACAGAAAGCCCCGGCUAACUUCGUG